rnacentral:rRNA from 1 species
UACAGAGGGGGCAAGCGUUAUUCGGAAUUAUUGGGCGUAAAGGGCGCGUAGGCGGCUUUGCAAGUGACGGGUGAAAUCCCUCGGCUUAACCGAGGAACUGCCUGUCAAACUGCAUGGCUUGAGACCGGGAGAGGUGAGUGGAAUUCCCAGUGUAGCGGUGAAAUGCGUAGAUAUUGGGAGGAACACCAGUGGCGAAGGCGGCUCACUGGACCGGUACUGGACGCUGAUGCGCGAAAGCGUGGGGAGCAAACAGGG